rnacentral:rRNA from 1 species
AACUUUCAACAACGGAUCUCUUGGUUCCGGCAUCGAUGAAGAACGCAGCGAAAUGCGAUACGUAAUGUGAAUUGCAGAAUUCAGUGAAUCAUCGAGUCUUUGAACGCACAUUGCGCCCCUUGGUAUUCCGGGGGGCAUGCCUGUCCGAGCGUCAUUG